UACGUAGGGGGCUAGGCGUUGUCCGGAGUUACUGGGCGUAAAGGGCGCGCAGGCGGCGGUGCUGGCCCGGCGUGAAAGGCCCCCGGCUCAACCGGGGAGGGUCGUCGGGGACCGCACCGCUUGAGGGCGGUAGGGGCUGGUGGAAUGCCUGGUGUAGUGGUGAAAUGCGUAGAGAUCAGGCGGAACACCCGUGGCGAAGGCGGCCAGCUGGGCCGACCCUGACGCUGAGGCGCGAAGGCGUGGGGAGCGAACGGG
rnacentral:rRNA from 1 species